rnacentral:misc_RNA from 1 species
GCAUUGCCAUCUGGAAGUGCACACAAGCUGGGGUUUGAAGAUGGCUUGGGUUGUCUUGGAUGGAAAGCUUCCCAAUCAGAAGUUACUUCCUCCACCAGCUGAUCUUCCCAAGUGUUGACAUUUGAGCUGCCUAUGAAAUAUCUUCUAACUGCUCAUGAUUUUUCACCAUUUGUUUGACCCAGUUUUAUGUACUCUUUGGCCCUUUUGUCAUUGUUUUUCCAUUAAGCAAAUUCUUGUUCAAUAACUAUUUCAUUAUCCAUGUGGAGUUGAGGAAAGGAGUGGACAAUUUUUGUAACAUAAUUUAUAUUGUGAGACAUCUCAAUAAUAUUUUCAUAUUGUUCCUUAAAA